ensembl:lncRNA
AAUCUAUUCAUCCAUCCAGCUGCAUCAUCCAUCACCCAUUUUCUUUCUUUCCUUCUUACCUUCUCAACCUCUUGUUUUUUCCUUAACUUUAUUACUUUCCUUGCCUUCAUUUUUCAUAUUUUGUCAUUUCCUUUGUUGUGCUUUUGUCUCUCCCAGUUUAUCUCCACUCUUACCUUUAUUCUUAAUCUGAUUUCCCUAUUUUCUUCCUCCUUUAUCUUCUUACCUUCAUUUAUUUCGUUUUUUUUUACCUUUUUCUUAUUCUUUUUUCUUUCUUUUGAACUUUAUUUAUUUCUUUGCUUCACAUCUUUUCCCCCCUGUCUUUCUUUCUCAUCUCCUCUUCUUUUCCUUGCCUUCUUUACCUUUAUUUACUUUCUUUCCGACCUCCUUCCUUAUGCUAUUUCUUUCUUCCAAUGGAAUUUUUUUAAACCUCUCUUCCUUCCUUCUCUCCUUCUUCUAAACUGCUUUCCAUUUUCAUUCCUUCUUGGUCUUUCUUUUUUUUUUGUCUUCCUUUCCCACUCCUUCGUUCAAAUUCACUUCAUUGUGACAGUUCAGUUCAUUGUUCCAAACUCCUUCAUUUAUUCUUCUAUUCUAACUUUUAUUUCAGUUGCUCUGUCUUUCUCUCAUUCUUCCUUAUAUUAUUUAUUAUCCUUCUUUGUUUAAAACGUUCACACCUUUCUUUCAUUCUUACCUUCUAGGUUCCCUUUCUUACCUUCUUUCUAAUCAUUUUUAAAAACGUUCUUCCUUUUGCUUUCUCUACCGUUCUCAUCUUUUUUUCCUUCACUGUCUGUCAAUCCCUCUGCCCUGGCUAUUGCUAUAUACACACAAAUAUAUACGGGUGUACAUGUAUAAAUAUAUGUGUGUGUAUAUAUAUAUAAAUAAAAGAAGCAGAAGAAGAAGGAAAAAGGAAAAAAAAAACCCGAAACAACUCCAGCGCAUAUGAAUCCACAUCCACAGCAUUGAAAACAGCUCAUCUUCAAACAAACAAUGCCCAUGUCAUUCAUAUUCAUAUACUUCCUGAAAAUCAAACCCUACAGGACAUUCCAUUUCAAAGUAUUUUACAUUUAGAUUUCAACACACCAAAAUAGACCACGGGGAAGAGAAAGCCUUAUUAUUAGUUACCCAUGGUGCACUGGGCAACAUUUAGAGCCCACAUUCUCUACUACUUCCUUUUUGAGGCCGCAAACAAAUUUGGCCCGACGACUAAUAUACGUUUCCAUCUUGGAACCUUAAAACGGAAGGAAUAUUAUUAGCAUUGCAGUAGCAUGUCAAUGCUCGCUCUUUCUGACGACUCCAUUAAUUGGCAGGCCAUUAGGAGCACUAAUUGCGCAAUGAGGCGAGUGAAGACUGUGACCAGCCGUCAUUCAUGGCUUAAUAAACCUGCAGUGAC